UGUUUUUUAAUGAUUUGUUUUAAAGUCUAGGAUUUUGUUUCAUAGAAAUCAUGUAUAUAUGUUAAAUAAUGGAAGUUCAGAAAGGGAGCAUCAACGACAGACUUGGUGCAUCGAGGAAGGAACGGAAGGAACAUCAUCGGGAACAAAGGUUGAGCAAAGCAAUUAUAGGAGGUCCGAUUCAACUCAAAGAAAAAUCUUCGGAAUCUCAUGACACAAAUGAUGUUACAGGUGGCCCUAGUUUGGUGAUGAAGUGCGUGAUCGUACAGCGUGACGAGCGGGGUUACGGGUUGACGGUUAGUGGUGACAACCCCGUGUAUGUGCAGUCGGUGAAAGAAGAUGGUGCGGCGCAUAAAGCUGGUGUGGUGCAAGGUGAUCGGAUUAUUAAGGUGAAUGGGUCAAAGGUUACGGAAUGCAACCAUGUUGAAGUAGUCAAGUUGAUUAAAGCGGAUAGUUACGUUGCACUCACCCUUCUUGGAGCCCCAGUCACCCACAAUAAUAAUCUCGCAUCAGGGGAUUCACCCAUCCAUACUGAGGUUCAAGCCAAACCUAAACAGUCGACGGGGAAAACUACGUUUUAUGACGAGAAAGUUGAAACGAUUAAGAAGAUGUUGUUGCAGGAGACGGCAGAAGUUGAGAGAAUAAAGGAGGAAUACGCAAAGAAUCCGAUCCAUAAACUACUUUUGGACCUUGGUACGGCACAGAAGCUCAAACAAGACCUCGAGAAACAACUUUGGAAGGUUGAAAGUUUAAGAAACAAGAGCCCUGAACCUACUGAGGCGGGGAAUCCCCUUGUUACAGACGUAGAUGACAAUACAGGGACGGUGACCGAGGAGACUUUGAUUGACAUGUCAGACGACGUCAGUGAAGAGAAGGGGUCAAUACGUGAACAACGAAGCGCGACGUUAAAUGAUGACAUCACAAUGGAGUUAAUUAGCGAGGAUUCAAAUAACCCGUUCGUCAACAAUGCUACCCCCGACACCAGCAAACCAGCCACCCCCCAACCCCAAAAUAAAGCCAUCAUGAAUUUUGAAGAUGAUGACAUGGCAGAAUCGUGCGAUACAGUGAGUCAGCACUUUUUAUAUUUCUAUGGUUUCCAUCGUUACUUGCGUGAACUGAUCGGACGACGAGAGGAAAACCUUCCACAAGUUCCCAUACUUGAACUAUCGGUGAUGCCCGAGGACGACAACGACGAGCAACAACCGGUGGUUGCCGAUGACAACGACCUCAUAGCGAGUCGCGCACCACCGACUUUGUACGAACAAAUCAAAAUCAAGCAGCGUGAAAUAAGUGAGGCGUUCGCCACCAAGCGAAGGUUGUUGGCGAUGUAUGCGGGGGCAGGGGAGGGUGACUUCGAGGGGGUGAUGGAGAUGUUACAUCUCGAUGGCAACCCACAACCACAAGCGCUUGUCAUGGAUGCGUUGUUGCACGUUUGA